rnacentral:rRNA from 1 species
CCUACGGGAGGCAGCAGUGGGGAAUGUUGGGCAAUGGAGGCAACUCUGACCCAGCAACGCCGCGUGCGUGAAGAAGGUCUUCUGAUUGUAAAACUCUUUAAGUGGGGACGAAGAAAGUGACUGUACUCACAGAAUAAGACUCGACUAACUAUGUGCCAGCAGCCGCGGUAAUACGUAGGAGGCAAGCAUUAUCCGGAAUGACUGGGCGUAAAGGGUGCGUAGGUGGUUGGACAAGUUAGUAGCGUAAUUCCGAGGCUCAACUUCGGAACUACUACUAAUACUGUUGGGCUUGAGUGCAGGAGAGGUGGAUGGAAUUCAUAGUGUAGCGGUGGAAUGCGUAGAGAUUAGGAGGAACACCGGCGGCGAAAGCGAUUCACUGAGCUGUAACUGACGCUGAGGCACGAAAGCGUGGGGAGCAAACAGGAUUAGAUACCCCGGUAGUC